rnacentral:lncRNA from 1 species
CAACUUUGUUUUGUAACGGGCAGCUAGGCCAGAGCUCAGUCAAUCUCGGCCAUGAAGCCUCCCAGCCCCCACACAAUGGAAGUGUGGGAAUGGAAACCUCUGGGUUUUGGAGCCCUCAAAAAUAAUAAUGCCUUGUGUCAAUGAGAACAGCUCAAUUUUUAAAAGUAACUUUUAAACUUUUCACUUGAAGCGAAUAGGACUUACAGGUCCCAUUAUGGCUGGAUCACGCCCACAUCUAUCUAUAUUUACUUUGGAGUGACCCCUCUGAUCUCAGUGGGAAGUAGCUCUGAGUAAACCUUCAGAGAGUUGGGCUGUGAAGUUUUCAAACCUGAAAGAAUGGACGUGAGCAGAUCAUGACCACCAACGUAUGGCUCAAUCAGGAUAUUAAUCUCUGUGUUGGGAAGCAAAGAACAAAACAUUUUCCUGGAUGUCUAACUCCUGAAAAGAAGGCUUCUCUUGAGAGCUCCCACGAAGCGCUUGGUUGAUUCAUUCCAUUCCAGCCAAUUUUUUUUUUCAAUCUAUACUUUGUGACAGAAAUUAAUUGUCUUAAAAUGUUCGAAAUGGCAAAAGCCCAGAAAAUGUUAGUCUAGCAGGUGUGUGUGUGUGUGUGUGUGUGUGUGUGUGUGUGUGUGUUUUAAACGCAGACUGUCAGGAGGCAGUUGAAUCACAGGCAGCUUUGCUUUUAAGGACAUGCCUCUGUUUAGACUGACAUUGGUUUAAUAAUCACAGCUCCAUUGCAGCAAUUAUCUCCACCCUAGCGUGGGAAGGUACAAGUGUUCUAGAGAGAGCAGUUGCCCUUGAGGAGGAGGAAUGAAGAGAAAAGGGUGAAAAUACCCUCCUGAACCAUCAUCAUAUGUUGCUGGCUUACAGGGGGGGCCCUUUCACUGCUCUCCUGAAGACGAACAACCAGCUGCAUCCACCUUUGGGACUUGGCAAGCACUUUGGUAGGUGAGGGCGAAUACAGACGCAGCCACCUCCCGAGAAAGUUUCCUGUAGCCAUUUGCUGCUUCAAAAUACUUCUCUGCACAGCGCUUCUCUUUCCUGUGCUAAAUAUGAACAUCUCCAAAACAUAUUGCAGAUUGCAUAUGUUUUAAUUUGCUGUAAAACUUUCGCCAAUUAAAUCUUUUACAAGCUCCACUUUGUUACCAAAAUAUUCUAAAAAAGGACAGGCUGCUUCCUGCAUAUGUUUCUGGGUUUUAUUUGUUUUUCGUUUGUUUGGAGGUCCCCCCACUUUAAAACGGUUUUGCUUAACUAGGACUUUGGAAUAGGUAAUAUUGUGAAAAGGGCAUCUCUCAGUAAGCCAGGUAGCCCAUAUAAUAAUACUUUAAAAAAAACCUGACAACAAUCAGUAUAUGUCUUUUCCUAGCACUAUAAUUAUCAUUUGUUUGUUACUUAAACACAGAGCGCCAAAUCUUUUAAACAAAUUAAUACUGUACUAUUGUCAAGUAGGAUAGAUGUUCAGCCUAUGCUUUCACCCUGGUAACUACAUAGAAUAUCCUUAAGUGGUUUAAAAUAAAAUAUUGAAUUUCUCUGAG